GAACUAGGCCAGGCUUUGAGGCUCGCCCUUCGUUCGAGGUCUAACGCAUUAAAAGACCUUGUUCUGGGCGAUUUUUCAGGCUGCCUUGGAAGGGGGCAUUUAACCCGAUUUGAUCUCCACCGAAUGCAUCCGGGCCGAUUCUCUGCCGCGGGGGAACCGCGCCGCCCGCCCUGCGGUUUCCAGGCCCUUUGAGAAAGAUUCCUUUUGAUGUCCCUGGGAGCUCUGUUUCCAGAGCGGCCACAGCUCCAGGAACUGCACAGGGACUGGAGAGCCAGGUCUGUGUCAGAACGCUUGUCCCCUGGCUCUCUGGCAGGACGCCCGCGGGGCCAGGGCGGCAGCCAGGGCUGGGCUUGGGCGAUUCAGGGUGGGGGGCAAGGGUGCGUUUGCUCACCAUGACGGGGUGACAUUCAGCAUUUGCAGGCUACAUAUUUUAAGGCAAAAUCCCUCCCAGCAGGGAACCAUUAGUAAAAUUGUCAUUUGAGGUCAGGCUGAUUUUUUUUUAAUCAUCUCAGCUGCUACUAUAAUUUAUUUAUAAUAUAUAUAUUUUGCAUCGGGGAUCCAACCCAGGGGCUCUCUACCAUUGAGCUACAUCCUCAGCUUUUCCAUUAUUAUUUUUUUAAAUUCUGAGGCAGGGUCUAGCCAUGUUGCCCGGGGUUGGCCUCAUGUUUGCAAACCCCCUCAGCCACUCUGCUCACUAGAUUUACGGACAUGCCCAGCAAUGCCAACGAGAAUAAAGAACAGUUUCCUAAAUGCCACUCGGUGGUUACUCUCUGUCAGUAAAAGAAAGCAAAUUUGAAUUUCAAAUAUCUUGCACCCCGAGCAGUGCUCUAGUUAGCACAGCGCCAGGCCCCCAGCGAACCCCCAAUAAGCCCACCCCAGGUAGGACUUCAGUGGACCGAUGAUCACCAUUCACAAUAUUCUAGUAAGUAGAACUCAGGUACUUGGGGGGGGGGGCGUUCUCUGCCGUAGCAAAGCACAUCAGUGAGCUAUUGCUGAAUAACAAGCAGCCCCCGAACCAUGGAUGAAACGGCUGUUCCCAGGUCACCUGGGCGGGCAACGGGCCUGAGCUCGGCUGGAUGCUGAGGCCGUGUGUCUGUGGUCACUGGAGCUUCAAUGGCUUCCCUCACAUAAGUGGCACUGAGGUGGCCAUUGGUUGUGGAGACAGAAUAACUGGGCCACACGUCCUCGUCAUCCAGAAAGCCAUUAACAAUGGAUCCCUAAGGCGGAAGUUGUAGGACUCCCAAGAGCAGCAGGAGAGGAGACUGUCCCGCCCCUGGACUCAGGAUUGGAAGGCGCUUGGGUCACGUCUGCCAGAUUCCAACUAGAAACGUUCUCCCUGCGUCCUGGGGCGGGGAGCCAGACUGGGCUCCCUGGUGUCACAGGGAGUGACCGAGAACCAGGCACUUAAACAUAGACAAUGCCACACGUGGGAACGGACUGGUUUGCUCAUGUUGAGUGACAGAGGUCCACUGGUCCUCCUCGGACCCCACCCCCAAUCAGGGUCCUCAUUCUCCUCGCACACUUGCUGUACCCUGGAAAUACAUCAGGCCGACCCUCCCCGGUGGGUCCUCCCCUUGGAGGAUGGUCUGAAGCUCUUUCCUCUUCAGUGGUGAUGGGGACACAUUCCUCCUCCCCGGGCCACAUGGGUUCACCCUCCCUGGAGGCCUUCACAGGAUGACCCUGUGGGAGACCAGCACUAACCCUUCCGGGUGUGGGAAGGAGGUGAUAGGCCCCUCCUUGAGUGAGCUGGGGACCCCAGGUCGCCUUGUCCGCCUGACUCUAGGCUCCAGUCACUUACUUCCUGGGGAGUUUAGAAAAAUGAAGAUUUUCUAAAAAUGAAAUUAAGACUCGAAAGUGGCCGAUGCUCUCUGACUUAAUUCCUUUGGUUUUGAAAAUUUUAAGCAAAAGUCACCCUGAUUGGUAGGUUAAUGUGUGAGGCCUGUCGCAGCCACUAAGGCCACAAGACCUCAGUGGCAUUGAGCAGGACAGAAUUGUCUCACAGUUCUGGAGGUUAAAGCCCAACAUGGACUAGGGUCAGGGUAUCAGCUGGGGGCUGAGGGCUCUAGGGAGAUCCCAUUCCCUUGCCCUUCCCGGCUCCCAGGGCUGUCACACUCCCUGGGAGUGCACCCUCAAAGCCAGCAAGCCCCUGCAGUCUCUUCCAUGAACCAUCCCCUGGACUCUGAUUCUUUGGCCACCCCCUCCCCGGUAGGCCCCCCUUAUCUCAGGAUCAGCUGCUUGGACCUUAAUCCCAUUAGCAACCUUGAUUCCCUUUUGCCAUGUGAUCCUACAGAGUUGCAGGUCCCUGAGGAGGCCACCCCAUCACCACGGCUCAGUGAGCUUCACAGGGGCCGGUGGUGGAAAACUUUGGUGUGAUGGCAGCAACUAUGUAGUCUAGUGUCACACAAUCUUUACGGGUAAAAAUCCCUCCACACAGGGCUUCUCCAGCUCCCAGACACAUUACAAUGGUCCAGAACAGGACCACAAUCAUCUCAUGUGCUGGCACACCCAGCAAGCGGAGGGGAGCCCAUCUCUCUGGUCUUGCUAAAACCGAAGGCACACUUAUGUGCAGGAUGGAGACAUGCAAAUAAAGGGGCUCUAGACUUUAAAUGACUCUGUGUUCCUCCUCCCUGUUUCCAUUUCCAGACUUCCCAAAGUUCUUCAAAAAGAAUUCUGCAGCCAUUCAGAAGACAGAAGGAGGAAAACGGUCAUUACGAAAGAGAGCAGAGAGAGUCAAGGCCAGUCCAAGGGGAGAAGCCAGGCUACGGGCCAUCGUCUGGACUUGUCCCUGGGGAGGAAAAACGAUGAGCAGCCGCAGCAGCUGGGGGUGGGUGGGUAAAGAACAAGCAGAUUUCUCUGUUGUCCCCCAUCAGCCUCCUGCUGCAGGGGCUCUGCAGGCCAGGCAGGAUGGGUAGCAGCAGUGUUCUGAUUCUCCAUUCCUUUCCCACCACAACUGUGGCAAUGGGAUUUCCAGCCCCUCCACCCUCCUCUAAGGGUCACUGUUCUUCCUGCCCAUUACUAUGAGGCCUGGCUACCUGGGCUUGGACCAUGUGCCUUCAGCAGAUACGUAAACAAAAGUUUCACAGGGUGCAGUUGAAUCUUGCCUCUUGCGUUUCCACCACGGCUAUUACAACAUGGCCGGGACAGCCUGCUGCUGGGGCAGCCAGGACGAGAGCCAGAGGGAGCAGGCAGAGCCCACCCAGGACUUAGGGCCAAGCUGCAGCCAAGUUCAGGCAAACAAAAGUCAACGGAUGACUGCAAGCUGCUGGGCUUCAGGACGGUUUCUUACACACCACUGUGGUUGGAACAAGCUGACUGAUACAGAAGGGGAAACAGAAAUUCCCCUGGCACAGAUCCUGGUAGCAGCCAGGAACAGUCGACUAAGAACUCUGACAUUAGCAAAGUUAGAAAAAGAUUUUUUUCUUCUUUUUUUAGAAGCAGCAUCUGAUCACGUGGCGGAGUCACUUGUGAAACAAGCUGAAGGAGACUUAUUAACCAGAAAACCCAGGAGCCGACUUCCUCGUUGACUCCUCAGAUCCAGGGUCGUGCUUCUUUCACAGCCAGCAGCCCUGCUCUGCGUUUGACCCCGGCUGGACCGAGUUAUUCUGGAUCUCGUGACUCUGGGGCUUAAAAUAGUCUCUGCUGAGCCAUCUGCCUGGGGACCCAUCUCACUCCUGAGAGGUGUAGCAGCUGGGGCAGAGCUGAGCGCGGCUCCUGUUAAGGAAGUGAACAAUCUCUGGGCUUCGCUCCAUCCUGUGAGUGCGCCCAGGGGAGAAAAUAAAACAGAGGGCAUUUGGCUGCCAGAGAAGAGUAAGAGCUUAAGGAGAGAACCCGGCGGGGGGGA
rnacentral:lncRNA from 1 species